UAAAGGCCUAUGCUCUACCACCGAGCACUCUCAGCACCUCUGCCUGACCCUAAAUGACUGAUCCUGGAAAUGAGACUGCUGGCCCAGCAGCAUCAGCUGGGGACUUGUCAGGAAGGCAGAUUCAUGGGUCCCAGCUCAGCCCUGCGGAAUAGGAAGCUCUGAGGGUCAGACCCCUGUGUUGAGCUGUUUCAGUGACCCAGGGCUGUUUCUGCCCUUCACAUCUGGGAAGGCCUGACCUUGCACUCUUCCCCUCUGCACUGGCUCUGCGACACCCACCAGCUUUUCUGAAUCCAAAUCAACAUUUUACCAGCUUUUCUGGGGAGCUGAGCAGGCACACAAAACUCUGAUAAGCGUGACACAAAGGACCAGGCGAGAAGACACAGCACAGGCUAGCAGGUGAACAGCCAUCUGGCAGGAGCCGCACAAGCACCCUCAGCGGAAGGUGGUGGCCCGCAAGCCAUGCCGAAAAGUCUAUUAGAUGGUUUCCUUCUGCGCUGAAAACUCUAUCAAAUGGUUCCCUGACCAGGAACGGUAGACAAGAGACUGCUGAUGAGUCCCCUGCUGUUCACAGACUGGGCUGCAUAGUAGAUUAAUUCCUCACUUCUGAACACGCGGGAGCUGCUAAACUUGUUGCUGCUGGUUUGCAAACAGCACCAGUCUAAUUCAUUUACCACAGCCCUCACAGAAAAUGCCAACACUGCCAGAUUCAUUGCUGACAGAUCUGCUUGGACUUGCUGCUGAAGGCUGACGGGGCCCACAGCCCCCAUUAAGGUGUCCUCAGAGUCCCAAGUCCCACUAGAGGUCUCAGUCUAACAUACGGGCAUUCACCGUGACAAAGCUGUCCUGGUUAAAACACCUGGCACCAGCUUCUACAUGGUCAUCAACUGUCAUCCCAUCGAUGCUCCUAAACCCCAGUACAGCACCCCCUUUCAGCAGGAAACAAUAAAAGAAAGAAAAUUUUCGCCCUUUUUCCUAAUAAUCAAAAGACAGGACUGAAAGGAUUUUGCCCCAGAUGGGACACUGUAGCCGAUGGGAGCCUGGGAGGUGGAACCAAGGAGCGGUAUGUUGAGGUCACCUUUCCCAUCCCUAAGCAAUUUACCUGUGGCACAAAAUGAGUACCAAUGGGCUACCAGUGCAUCAGUAAUGCCCCUUAGGCACCACCCCAAACCUAAGCUACAUGGAUGUUCCCACGCCACACCACAUGUCGGGCAGAGAGAAUGCCAGACCCCGGAGGUCAUGGAGUCUCUCUCCACAUUCUUAAAAUAAAGGCCACUUUUAUUUCAUACUUAUCUUUUUAGCCUCGCCGAAAAUUCUAUCAGAUGGUUCCCUUCCGUGCCGAAAAUUCUAUCAGUUUUGACCAGACCUAUUUAACAAAUUUAUCAGAUGUUUCAAAACCAACUGAAUACCCCAGUGGAUACAGCAAAUAUCCUGAGAUUGUUUGGGCAAACAGGGUCCUCCAUGCAAGCUUUGUUAUGGGGCCAGUGUAGUACCAUGCAUAUUUUAAAAAUUUUAUUUGUGUGGGUGGUGCUGACUUCAAUAUGGUAGGUGGGACUGAGGAGUAGGUUAUGUCAUAAGUGUUUCUAUUUAUUUCACACUAAAAAAUUAUGCAGAAAAAACUCAAGCUUUCAGUCAUUUAAAAUUUUAAUCAGAAUUAAUAUUUAUGAUUAAAUACAUGGUAUCAUAUAUUUGAUUAAAUGUAAGUCACAAUUAUUAAGUAUAUGUGGCUAUUAAUAUUUGGUAUUAUCAAUACUGAAUAUUAAUUAAAUGCUAAUAUUUAAUAUUAAAUAUAUCCCAAGUUUCACAUUAAGAGAACACUUGUGACUGACAAACACAUGUCCUUUGGUGUGUAAGGGGCAUCUUGAUGGACUGUUAGUUACCCUCCAACUUUGGCCCUCAUUCAUUCCUAAAAAUGGAGCUCCAUUUUCAUUAAGACUGUCACUGUGUCUAAGAGACCAUUAUUUCCCCUGUCCUAAAUUUUGGCAAGGAGAAGUGAGUGUGUGAGACUUCUAGGUAGAUGCCUCUAGGUGAACUGAUUCAGCUGUAUCUGUUUUUGAGUGUGCCUUCCAAUUACAUUUUGUAUUAUCUAAAACCUAGAUGCAAUGCCUAGCACUCAGGCAGCCAUUCUGUGACCUUCAGCUUGAAGCCAUAUGCUAAGAAAGGCAGAGUAGAAAGACAGAACCCGGAUCCCUGAUAACUUUGUUUGGCCUCUAACCUUCUCAGCACUGCCUGCCUUUAAUUAAAUUUGUU